rnacentral:rRNA from 1 species
UCCGGAGGAGGCAAACGUUAUCCGGAAUUAUUGGGCGUAAAGCGUCCGUAGGUGGCCAUGCAAGUCUGCUGUCAAAGCAUGGAGCUUAACUCCAUAGAGGCAGUGGAAACUGAAUAGCUAGAGUUCGGUAGGGGUAGCGGGAAUUCCCAGUGUAGCGGUGAAAUGCGUAGAGAUUGGGAAGAACAUCGGUGGCGAAAGCGCGCUACUGGGCCGAAACUGACACUGAGGGACGAAAGCUAGGGGAGAGAAAGGG